rnacentral:rRNA from 1 species
UACGUAGGGUGCAAGCGUUAAUCGGAAUUACUGGGCGUAAGCGUGCGCAGGCGGUUGUGUAAGACAGAUGUGAAAUCCCCGGGCUCAACCUGGGAACUGCCAUUUGUGACUGCACGGCUGGAGUGCGGCAGAGGGGGGAUGGAAUUCCGCGUGUAGCAGUGAAAUGCGUAGAUAUGCGGAGGAACACCGAUGGCGAAGGCA